rnacentral:rRNA from 1 species
GACGAACCGUGCGAACGUUAUUCGGAAUCACUGGGCUUAAAGCGCGUGUAGGCGGAUCGCCGCGUCGGCUGCUGAAAGCCCCCGGCUUAACCGGGGAGGGUCGUUGGGGACGGCGGGGCUUGAGGGCGGGAGAGGUCGGUGGAAUUCCCGGUGUAGUGGUGAAAUGCGUAGAGAUCGGGAGGAACACCUGUGGCGAAGGCGGCCGACUGGGCCGACCCUGACGCUGAGGCGCGAAAGUGUGGGGAGCGAACAGG